AAAAACUCAAAAUUUCAAAAUUCAAAACCACCUACCCAUUCCUCCUCUGCAACAUCAAUUCUUCUUCCAAUCCGCCAACCACACCACCACCAUGUCCCAAAAAUCCAAAUCACGAUGCAAAACCGCAAAACUCGAACAAAGCUCAGCACUUCUAGUCCAAAACCAUACCCCUCGAAACCCUAACCUACAUCGCCGUCAAGUACAUCGGCACCGUAGCCUCCGUCUCCGCCUCCUAUGCCGCCAUGGCCAAGCGCACCAACACGAACAUCUUUAACUUCGCCAACACCCUUCCCUUUGUCUUCCCUCACCCUCUCUAAAUUUACCAUUUCUCCCGUCUUCCAUGAAACGCUCUCAGGCGUGAAUCGUCACUACCAGAAGAGGGUUGAAGCGGAAGCUCGAACAAGACUUCAGAGAUGAAAUGAUCGAGGGCAAACCGGACCGGAAAGUCCUAGUCGUCUUCGAAUCGCAAGACGAUCACCCAGAUCUCAUUGACAGGUUCGCGAGCAGGUCCGGAUUGUGGAGUCCAUAUUCUCAUCCGCGCAACCCGACCGCUCCUUUGCUCUCACCGCCAAAGAAGAGGAGCUUGUGGACAUUGUGGUGGAUUGUGGAGCAGUUCCGGCGCUUGUUAAGCAUCUACAGGCGCCUCUGCCGGCCAUAGACGGCCAAAAAAGCCCGAUCCUGUAUGGGCAUGAGGUCAAGAAGGGGGUGGAGGGCCGGGGAAGACGAAGGGGUUCUGGGUAGGAGACGGCUGUUUGUUUUUUUUCUUUUUAAUUUUUAAUUAUUUUUUAAUAUUAAAGUGGGCCUAUAUUGACACGUGGCA